rnacentral:rRNA from 1 species
GAUGAACGCUGGCGGCGUGCCUAAUACAUGCAAGUCGAGCGAAUGGAUUAAGAGCUUGCUCUUAUGAAGUUAGCGGCGGACGGGUGAGUAACACGUGGGUAACCUGCCCAUAAGACUGGGAUAACUCCGGGAAACCGGGGCUAAUACCGGAUAACAUUUUGAACCGCAUGGUUCCAAAUUGAAAGGCGGCUUCGGCUGUCACUUAUGGAUGGACCCGCGUCGCAUUAGCUAGUUGGUGAGGUAACGGCUCACCAAGGCAACGAUGCGUAGCCGCCCUGGGAGGGUGAUCGGACACACUGGGACUGAGACACGGCCCAGACUCCUACGGGAGGCAGCAGUAGGGAAUCUUCCGCAAUGGACGAAAGUCUGACGGAGCAACGCCGCGUGAGUGAUGAAGGCUUUCGGGUCGUAAAACUCUGUUGUUAGGGAAGAACAAGUGCUAGUUGAAUAAGCUGGCACCUUGACGGUACCUAACCAGAAAGCCACGGCUAACUACGUGCCAGCCGCCGCGGUAA